ensembl:piRNA 21ur-1026 ncRNA
UGGGAGAAUUAUUUUACGUUC